UUUAAAAUUUCCUUUCCAAAAGGAUGGAUUUAGAGCUAAAUAGUGUAUGUAAAUGGAAAGGUUUCUUUAUCCUCUUUUGAUUUUGUUAUUGACAUAUCAGACUUUAGCUCAGUUAGAUAAAAGAGACGCGUUCUGUUGCUUGGAUGGGAGGCCUUUAAUGAGGAUGGGAGCCCCCGGGGAGCCGAAAUCGGUGCAGCUUUCGGGUUUCUUGCUGUUUCUUCAGUCUUUCUGUCUCCCUUUGCAGAGGGCCUAGGGUGUGGGAACUAUCCAAGGUGCUAGUAUGCUGGCAGCGUUGCCCUUCAAUGCAGGCGGAUUGCAGAAGCAGAGGAGAGAGAUUACUGCUUAUUUCAGAAGAACAUGAUCAAAUGAGUUACCUUAGCCAGCUUGGUGACUGCUUCGGGUCUGGUAGUCAUCUGUGUAGCAAAGUGGGUAAAAUCAUUCAAUUUCUUUCCUGCUGGCCCUGGAAGGAGAGGGGCUGUGCGCUCAUCCCCACCCAUUAGCUAUGCCCUCUUUUCUCCGAAUGUCGAUUUAAGGCGGCAAGCAGCUGUCUUCUCCACAGCAUCUUCCUAGCAAACUUUAAAGGGCAUUUUAUCCAAUAGAAAGAACGUCAAAAAUGCUCUGGUCUCUAGUGAUGAAGAAUCUCGGAUUCGACAGUUUUCCCAUCCAGAUAUAAUGCACUUUAAUUGAAGAAAAGCCGAACUGACCUACAAGUCUGUUUCUUAUGGUGCUGGAUCACUCCUACCGAACUGCCCCGAGACCAGCCUUGAGAGAGGGCUCUGACAGACCCAAGUCACCUCCUGACUAUUGCACUUAGCUUUCCCUGGGGACUUAAAUUUGGAAGUAUCCCGUUUCCAUGAUACCCUCCAAGAUGAUGAGUGCUAAUCCUGAAGAAGACCCUUUGAACAGUUUUCUCCAGUAUAUUGAGGAUAUGGGGAUGAAAGCUUAUGAUGGGCUGGUUAUUCAAAAUGCAUCUGACAUUGCCCGUGAGAACGAUCGCUUGAGAAAUGAAACAAAUCUGGCUUACCUGAAAGAGAAGAAUGAGAAACGGCGAAGACAGGAAGAAACAA